AUAUAUUGGAGUGUAAGUUCCACAAAGAGAGAACAAAGAAAGAACUAUGAGGAAGAAGCGCGCAAAAUAAAGAGCUCAAAAGAACCAGGCCUGUGUCUUAUCUCUCUGCGGGCAAGGAGUGCGAUAGGUGGCGCCGAGACCCGGGAAUCUACAGAUAAAGUAAAAGUCCCAGUCUCUGUUACAGAUGCAAAAUUGCCAGUGUUACUAUCAA